GACGAACGCUGGCGGCGUGCCUAAUACAUGCAAGUAGAACGCACAGUUUAUACCGUAGCUUGCUACACCAUAGACUGUGAGUUGCGAACGGGUGAGUAACGCGUAGGUAACCUGCCUGGUAGCGGGGGAUAACUAUUGGAAACGAUAGCUAAUACCGCAUAAUAUUAAUUAUUGCAUGAUAAUUGAUUGAAAGAUGCAACUGCAUCACUACCAGAUGGACCUGCGUUGUAUUAGCUAGUAGGUGAGGCAACGGCUCACCUAGGCGACGAUACAUAGCCGACCUGAGAGGGUGAUCGGCCACACUGGGACUGAGACACGGCCCAGACUCCUACGGGAGGCAGCAGUAGGGAAUCUUCGGCAAUGGACGAAAGUCUGACCGAGCAACGCCGCGUGAGUGAAGAAGGGUUUCGGAUCGUAAAGCUCUGUUGUAAGAGAAGAACGGGUGUGAGAGUGGAAAGUUCACACUGUGACGGUAUCUUACCAGAAAGGGACGGCUAACUACGUG
rnacentral:rRNA from 1 species